rnacentral:rRNA from 1 species
AUACCGGGCCUUUUUGGGCUUGGUAAUUGGAAUGAGGGAGAGUUAAACGGACCAUCGAGUAUCCAUUGGAGGGCAAGUCUGGUGCCAGCAGCUGUGGUAAUACCAGCUCCAAUAGCGUAUAUUAAAGUUGUUGCAGUUAAAAAGCUCGUAGUUGGACUUGUGUGCGCUGUCCGCGCGUGGCCUGCGCCCAAAAGGGCGUUUCGGUUCGGCCCCGGUGGCGCCUUGAAAUCUGCAGCUGGGGGGACGUUGGCCUUAACUGGUCGGCGACCGCACGCCGGCUGCUCGGUUACUGUGAGAAAAUUAGAGUGUUCAAGGCAGGCAUUGGGUGCAAUUGAAUACAUUAGCAUGGAAUAAUAAAAUAUGGCUCCUGCCGUAUUUUGUUGGUUUUGACUGGUGGGAGUAAUGAUUGAUAGGGACGGUUGGGGGUGCUAGUAUUGAGCGGCCAGAGGUGAAAUUCAUGGAUUCGCUCAAGACUAACUUAUGCGAAAGCAUUCACCAAGGCCGUCCUCUUUAAUCAAGAACGAAAGUUGGGGGAUCGAAGACGAUCAGAUACCGUCGUAGUCUCAACCAUAAACUAUGUCGACUUGGGAUCGGCGGUAGUUUUUUCAUUAAGACACUGUCGGGACCACGGGAGAAAUCAAAGUGUCUGGACUCUGGGGGAAGUAUGGUCGCAAGGCUGAAACUUGAAGGAAUUGACGGAAGGGCACCACCAGGAGUGGAGCCUGCGGCUUAAUUUGACCCAACACGGGAAAACUUACCAGGUCCAGAGAUGUAGAGGAUUGACAGAUUGAAGCUCUUUCUUGAUCACUUCGGUGGUGGUGCAUGGCCGUUCUUAGUUGGUGGAGUGAUUUGUCUGGUUAAUUCCGUUAACGAACGAGACCUCAGCCUGCUAGUGUAGUCGGCUGGAUUGCCUUUGGCGAUCCGUGAUUUCGACUUCUUAGAGGGACAAUCGACGCGCAGUCGAUGGAAGUUUGAGGCAAUAACAGGUCUGUGAUGCCCUUAGAUGUUCUGGGCCGCACGCGCGCUACACUGCUGGGCUCAGCGAGUUUUACUUGGCCGAGAGGCCCGGUUAAUCUUGUGAAAUCCCAGCGUGCUUGGGCUCGCCUCCUGCAACUGGAGGCGCCAACGAGGAAUUCCUAGUAGACGCAGGUCGUCAACCUGCAUCGAUUACGUCCCUGCCCUUUGUACACACCGCCCGUCGUUCCAUAAGAGUGAGGCAUCCGGUGAAUUCUCGGGAGAGCCUGGGCGUGGCCAGCAAUGGUCUGCUCGGGUUUGAACUUGCAUAAACUUGGUGCCUAUGAUUAGGG